rnacentral:rRNA from 1 species
UGAAGGCCCUCUGGGUUGUAAACUUCUUUUAUAGGGGACGAAAAAAGCUCAUUCUCGAGCACUUGACGGUACCCUAGGAAUAAGCACCGGCUAACUCCGUGC